CAAAAAUUAAUAAUCGAGAGACCACUUUAAUAAUUGUGCACUUCUCUCCAAUUCCUUUUUACUGUUCAAAAAUUCCCUCCCUUUGUCCUGCUCACCAAAAUGCCUCCGCUCCCACCAUCGUCGUAUGUUCCUCCAUUCCAUCGCCGCCGCCCGUCAACUUGCAGAAUAAGAAUCACACUCUUCGUUCGCCACGCGUUGUACUUUCCCUGCCUCUUAGAAUUGUAGAAUCACAUGCACAAUUGUUUAUAUUAUGUUUUCUGUUCUUCGUGAUUUUGUUUGCUCUGUUCGUCAAAUGCGAUUUGGUUAUCUCAAACAUUCUCUGUUUGAUUUGCUUCAAUUAGUGCUAUGUGAUUGCUAAGUUGAACAUCUAUGCAAAUUUUCAUUACUUUCUAAGCGAAUGCGCAUAACAUAUUUGAUCUUUUUAAAGCAACUAGGGUUUGUCAAUUUUAACUUCUAAUGAUUACAGUGGCAGAGUCGAGAUAUUUGUUGUGAGAUGAUUAUUUCAGAUGGAUGUUACAUUGCUAUUGGUUGAAAUGCUCAAGAUCGAAACAUGGAGGUACUAUCCUUUUGUGAACAGAUUAUUAAGCUAUUAUUGUAAUUAUACGCAAUAUACUUGUUGAAAGUUGCAUAUUUUAUGGUUAAGUUAACAAAAUUCUAGUAUACACUUUGCUCACUUUGUCGAUUAACAAAACUGAAUUAUUAACAGGGGAAAUGCUCUAUAUUCUUCGACAUAAUUGAAAAUGCUGAGUAGUCUUCAAAUGCUACAUAUAUUGAAGUCUCUUGAGCUGGAACAAGGGAUAUUCAUUAGUAUGUCUUACUUAAAUGUGCCAUUUACAAAAAUAUACCUCAAAAUUGAGUGGUUCUUAAUCUAAAGAGUGAGAUUAAUGUUUGAAUUUCUUUCAUAGAGUGGCUGACCCAAUGCAAUUAUCUACUCUCUUUAGUUCCUUUUUUUGUUAGAGUUUGUUCAAAAUAUAAAAUAGUUGGAUAUUAAACUUAUAACUAUUUUUCCAACUUUAAUCUGCACAUGUAUUAUAACUUUGUACCUCUACCACUUUGUUGUUAACAAGGAUAACUCCGAUAUGUUUAUGGGCCGGUUGUUUGGACAAAGGUUGGCCAAGCUAUUGGGCAUGGUGCUAAACAGCAAAAUGCCAAGGAAUUAGACAGCCCAAGAAGACAUUUGCUUGGAAUCCAGGUUGAGUUAGGAAGCAUGUGACAAAAGGAUAAAGGGGGUGUCAUUAGCAGUUUUUAAAAUUAUGUGUAUUGUGAUCAUGCUUAGCCAAAGUUUGUGCUUCUCAAGUCCUUUUCUGAAUCAAUCUAAUUCCCUAUCCCCUUUCUGGUUACCUAUCAUAUUUAUGUAGUUCUGCCAUUUUCAUUUGUUGUUUACGUUCUAGAGUUGCAAUAUUCUAGUUGUUGAGAUCAAUAUAGUAUAUAUAAAUUACUAUUUAUGUUGAAUAAUUCUGGUUGUUACACAAUUUCGUCUGAUCUAUAUAUUUCUAGAGAGAAUAUUCUAACUCUAUCUUGUUGGAAUUAGAUAGAUUGAAUUUUAACUGUCAUAUGCUUAAGAAAAAAUAACUCACUCGCUUUUCUAUUACCGAGUUCCUUGUAGCAGUUGUGAUUUAUGUUUUCGUGAUUGGUUAUUAUCUUCUAUUUCUAAUUAAAUAUAUUAAACUUCUUAGGAUGCAGUAGUUAUAUAUAAAAUCCUUUGCUAGUUGCAGGUCAAUCUUAUCAAUGACUCUGCUCCUUUUUUGAAUCUGAUCAAUUCACUUUGCUCCUCCAGCAUUUUAUGAUGUAAUUCAAGAAACUCUAUCUCUUCUUCUCCCAUCUCUUUCUUGGAAUCCUAAAAGAAUAGAACUAGAAUGAAUAUAGCCCAUUUUCUAUCAGUUAAUCUCUCUUAUACUAAGUUAGGUGGAUUCUUUUCAGGGAUGACAAUAGCUAAAUAAAAUGACUUGUAGUGUUUUUGUGGAUUAUGAAUGUUAUUCUGAGUUUUAAAUAUUGAGUUUCAUAUCUAUAGUUGCUAGACUGUAGAAAAUCAAAAAUUCUUUCCCACCCCUAACAUUCUUAUUAUGGGUUUCUGUAUUAUAGAAACAUAUAUCACAGGUUUAAUCUGUAGUCACUUCUCCACUAUGGGUUGUAAGAAAAAUUUCUCCAUCUAUCUUUUCACGGCAUACUGAUGGAACUUCAUGGUUUAUCACUUGAAAACAUACCCGGUUAGCAUAACUCUGCUACAAGAUUUUAUAAUGUAAGGAGUUGGAGGGGUCAGAGGUUAGAACCAGUGAGAGAUCAAUUAAGGGUAUACCCUUUUCUUCAAUUAUGCUCAGUUUUCUUGUGUUGAGUUUCUUGAAAAAGUGCUUCAUCAACCUCUCGCAUGAUACUUCACUUUUCUGUAUUGAAUAGCAAUAAUCUCUUUUUUUGGGUGCAAAUUAUGGCAUUUUAUCUUGAUUUCCAUGCUAAUGUUAACUUGGCAUUUACCUGUCUCUAUUGAGCAGUAGUUUGUGUUUGAUUGAUGUUAUUUUGUAGGAGGGUGAAGUCAAGUAUUUUGUGUACAAGAGUUCUAUAAACUAGAAUGUAUCCAGUCGAGUACGUCAAUUCAUGCUUUAAAGUAUUGUAUAUUAUGUGUAGAAGAUUCUACAUUGCAUUUAUCUUUGCAUAUGUCUUUUGUUCGUGUACUUUUCAUAACCAUUGCUUGUUGUUUGAUGUAUCAAUAAAAUCCUAAGAUGUUUUUAGUAUUGACUGAUUAGAGCAUCUAGGAGUCAAACUAAUAUCAUCCAAAAUUAAAUUGUCUAGUGAUUUCUUUUAGAUUAUAGAAAACUUUAGCUAUGAAUCUUCUGAUUGGGUAUCAUUGCGGUAGGCCCAACUAUGGAUCCAAACUUGACAUACUCUGAUAGGCUAGCCAACAAGUUCUUGGAGCGUUGGGGCGCUGCCCGAAGUAUAUAUAAAAUUGGAGGGUAAGGAAUGCAAGGAGGAUCACAAAUCUAGUGAAGGGAUAGAGAAGAAUGUUGAACAUUGGUUCCAUGUCUACAGGUGCUUGGGUAGCAGCAAUGAGCUGAUGAGAGAUGAUUGCAUUGAGUAGUGGUUUGGUCAAAAUGAGGCAAAGAAGCCAAAAUAAACUCAUGAAGGAGUAAACUUGCACAGACUAAAGACUGGGAAUUGGAGCGCGGAGAGCGAGCAAAAUACGUGGUCGCUUGAGGAACACCGCUGAGGCGUCCACAAAUAUACGGCCCGCUAAAGUAAAGUUCAGAGAGGCUAAUUUGGGCACAAAUUCUACCGCUAACUGCAAUGGAAAAGUGCAGCCAUAGAAUAUCUGAUGUGGCCGCGGAAUAUCUAACGCAGUCGCGAAAUAUCUAACGCAGCUGUGGUGGUAUUUUUGCUGAGAACGGUGAUUGAAGUUCAGAAACCCUGCAAGUCAUGCUUAAAUAGAAGAAUGCGGUUCGCGUUCAAAUUACGUGGCCGCGAUGGAAGCACACGCGAACGCGGAUGAAAUUACGCUGUCCACGAAACCAAGUCCAACCCAAGCCCAGAAUUGAAGAAACGCGGACUGCGGUCAUUAUUACGCGGCUAAUUCUCUGUAGGGGCAUUUUUGUCUGGGAAUUUCAGCCUAGUAUAAAUAGAUUAUUUUCACAUUAUUAGGUUAAGUUUUGUCAAGGAGAACACGUGAACGACUCGUUUUUGCCUUUUGAGUAAUUCUAGAGUAGAUUCAUCUUCAAUCUUUAGAUUUUCAUCUUGUAUUUGAAUAUUAUGGCUUAUAUUUCAUCUUUA